GAGCCAUUAGCUCAGCUGGUAGAGCAUCUGACUUUUAAUCAGUGGGUCAGAUGUUAGAAUCCUCUAUGGCUCA
rnacentral:tRNA from 1 species